rnacentral:rRNA from 1 species
AAUGCACCAGAUACCAUCAGAACUGUGCAGUUGAGCGUGCUUGGGUGAGAGUAAUACUAAGAUGGGUUACCACUUGGGAAGUCCUCGUGUUGCCCCUU